rnacentral:lncRNA from 1 species
UUUGAUCUCAUUCCUUCUCUGUCUAUUUAUUCCCAAGUGCAUUAUAACAUGCUGAUUCUAAACUGACAUUUUCUUUUCUUUUUGGUCAUGUAGAAGACAAAAUCCUGGUGAGGCUGUGCUAACAGAAAGGAUGUUUCUGUCUCUAUUAUCUUUUCUAGUUAACUGUGUUACCUGUAGCCUUUGUGGGUACAGGUGAGCACAGGAGCCUCCUCACUGAAAGCACACAUCCAGUUUUGACACCAUAAUUCCAUUGUCACCUCUGUGACAGCAGGUAAGAAAAUCUGAGGCUCCUGGCAAAGCAAGUUGCACAUAUAAGCACUGUCAAAUUAAUUUUUCCUGAGAAGAUGAGAGGCCUAGGCUUUGGGUGCUGGAAAUGGGGUAAAAUACAUCAAUAUUUAAUUACUUUUGAGUUCACAUUGCGUGUGGAUAGAAGGAAAUAACUGGAAUUUCUAAACCAAAGAAGAUGAUUGGUAAUGGACAAGAAUUUUCUCUACGUGAACAUAAAGAAAGGGUGGUAGUUGUGGAAAAAUAACCUGGAUUUGGGCAUGGUGUGGAUGUGUGGGAAGAAAGAAGGAAUGGAAAAAGAAAUGAAGAGCACAUCAAAGAGAUGUCUGUACUAUCCCCUUUCCACAGGUGGAAAAACUGAGGCAGAGAAGCAAUUUACACAAAUUCCGCUUUCACUUGUCAUCAUCAGAGCCAAAAAUUUCUACCUCCCAGUCCUAAACACGAACCACAAGGCUUUUCCUCUGUCCUAUUAUAUCUGUUAUUUGUUUCACCUUGUUUUCAGUUUUGAGAGCUCCUCUGAUCUACAUAAACAUGUUGAAACACAGAGUGAUUCAGGUGCCUACAGCUGUGAUGUUGGAGGAUGUGGUUUCAUUUCAUGGACUUCACCAACUUUGAGACAGCACUGCAAGACAGGCUUUUACAACUGUGAAAAUCUUGUCACUGAUGCUGUUAGAAGAAAUUUUUUUAGCCCUGCAAGUUGAAUCCACAGAAGAGAGUACAGAAAUAUAUGAAUGGCUUCUGCAGUUUAAACAAGCUGUUCCUUCCAUUUUGGGAUGAGAAAAUCCAACAAAUAAAAUAUUAAUAUGAAUAUCUAUCUCCUAAUUU